CGUAAGCGUCCGUGGACGGUUGUCGUUGGAUCCCACACUCGCGCUUAUCGCUUUUACAUUAUGUGCAUAAGGCCGUAUGCAAACACAGAGACAUCAGCAAAACAAUUACAAACAAUUGCAAAUUGCGAAGAGCCAUGAGAACGGAACGGUCGGGCGAAGGGAAACUGGCUACAGGAUCGAAGAUAGAGCGGGGCAAAGAUAGAAGAGGAGUGAGUUUCGCAUUAGGAGUAAUAGGCAUUAUCUCCAUCGAUCCCAACUCACGCUACCCCGCUUCUACCACCUCGCCCAUCGCCCACCAUCUCCCUAGAGCUGGGAGAAGGAAAGGGGGGGGGGGUGAUUGGUUCGUUCGAACUACUCGAGAAAAAACGCAUGGGAAUUCUUCGGCCAUGGGCACGGCGAACGGCAUCCUGAUCGCGAAAUGCGGGUAGCGGACUUGGGAAGAAUCAAGAAAGGCGUACGUGACGUAUAUUAGUAAAACACCAUCUGCACGUAAUAUAUCGUCUAGAUAGAAAAUAUAAAAUGGUUUAUUUUUAUGGUCUUUAGGAGUGUUACAAAGAAAGCUGAUUGUGAUAAUUAUCAUUAUAAAAUAAUCUUUCUUCUCGUUAUAAAAGAAAUCUAUAAAUAAAGACCAUAUCGUGUUCAAUAAUAUCUGAAUAUUUCUCUAAAUAUAGUAGUAAUUCCGACGUUCAAUAAUAUCAUCAUUAUAUAUUUGUAAUUUUAUAAUAAAUCUACAAAGAUAUAUUUAUAAAUAAAAUCGAAGUUUUAUCAGUUUAGCGAAUUUUAAAUAAAAUUAAUGUAAAGUGUCGUAAUGUAAAUUUGAAUUCCCCGUUUUUAUGGGGAUUCGAUUUGAUAAGUUCCAAUUUCUGCAAUUCCACUCUGUCAGCAGCUGUAACUAAUCAGUAUAAAUUAGGGCGUGUCGUUACAUGGAACUUCAAAAUCAACGAUAUACGGAGGAGCAUGAUAUCGCGCCGUUGUUUUUGCGAUAGUUUUACCACUUUUCCAUCACUGCACGGCUGCGGUGCGUCAGGUGAAAGAAGGAUGACGGUGACUAAUUGUCGUAAAGGCGAUCAUGAUAUGUCCUGCCUCGUAAAUCUGAUUGGCUACGCUUACUGACCCCGCUCGUAAUCUUGCCAGUAAGAUCGCUCGACACUACACGUACGUCGUUCGACAUCGAAUUCGGGUCGGAAUUUUAGAUUCUCCGAAAUCGCUUGCAGUCUUUUUCAAAGAUCUAAAGAUAUAACGUUCCUUGACGAGGCAUCGUCGAAGUAGGAACGGAAAGACGAUCUAGAUGCGAUCACGUGCUCUGAAGUGGAAACUGCAGAUCACACGAGCUAUACUGUUCAAAACGAAGAAAUAACGCGAAAUGGCAUUAAAAUUGCACAUUAAUGUGCAAACGUAAAUACAUAAAAUGUAACAUAAAGAUAGGGGGGUAUUAUUUCUCGUUAUACGAUGAUAUAUUUUUCGUUAUUUCAUUAUAUAAGCUUGCAUUGAAUUAUUGAAUAAUUGAUACAUAAUUAGAUUUAAUUAAUAAAACUACAAUCACAACAUAAAGUAAAAAUAUUGUAAUAUUAUCUUUUCUUUGAGCAUCGAAAUGAUUUAUGUUUCUUAUUAGUUAUUCUGACAAACUGAAUCAUUCGUAUAAAAUUGCACGCAGCAUUGAACAAUUUAAUUUUCCUUACGAUUUAUAUUUAAUUAUAGAAUAAGAAUAGAAAGUAAUUGAAUAUCAAUAUAGACGAAGCUGGCACGAGAUAGAGCGGUUAAUGUGUGAAAAUGUAAUCUCGUAUUUUAUCUAAGUCUGACCGGUUUAAGUGCAAAAAAGUAAUUGAGCGUGAUCGUGAAGGAAACCGGAUUUUACAUCGUGCAGCACGCACGCGAUAGUAAACCGAGGUGAAAACGGCAAUGAAAGAAAGAGGGCAAACCGAUGGCAGAGAAAAUCGAGAGAAUGGUGACUAAGUGCAUUACACAGUGGAAACCAUAUUUAUUUUCGUACGGCAUACGGUUCAUCCUAUGGUCCCGGGUAAACCAGAAGAUAGCUAGAUAAGUAAUAUGAUGCGCCAGCAGCAUCCCUUAUCCAAAGGCAGCUCGCCCUGUCUUUCCUCCUUUCCUCUCUACUCCUCUCUCCUUUCUUCUCGUAACCUUUCGCGUCGUCUACGAUGGAUCCGGUACUUUCCGAUAAGUAGGUCUCUAUCAAGAUUAUCUAGAGACUCCCCCGUUAGAUUAUUAUAAUGUUUGGGAUAUGGCAGUCCCAAUCCAAUAAGCGAGUUCUUCUCCCCAAAAUUCAUUCUCGCGAAAGAGGUUCUCUAACUUGCGUCAUCUUUCAUUCAGUUCUACCGAAUUUCCAUCGGUUCCAUUUUGCAGAGCAAGCCUCUACGUGCAUUUGCGUUAAGCCCAUUUCGCAUUAACACGUCAAGAUAAAUGGUCAUAAAUGGUUCGGAAAUUUCUAAAAUGUUAAGAACAGUUGUCGAGACUGAACGUGCAAUGUAUAACAUAGUUGCCUUAAAUUCACUGCUAUCAUAAUUAAAUGGCGAACGAACUUUCCGAAGCUUCCAUGAAAUUUUAGGUGGAAUAUUAUAGAACUCGUAAAUAGUUCGGAUGUCUUCCCUACGUUGUAGAUUCUCAUUGAGAAUCUGUAUGUCCCUUUCAAGGAUCGUGUAGAGUAAAUUACACUUCCAAACAACAGAUACGCGAGUAACUUCGUCUGCAAGAACGAGAUCUUAUUAGUGAAGUAAGAGUACUUCUUCGUCCAACAGCUUCAAGAAUCGUUGGUGCAGUCACGGGAGAAAAUGCGACGUAUAUUCUGGAUGCACAAGGUAGCGACGUAAAAUUUUUAAUAAGAACGCGGAAAGUGUACCUGCAAUCCGUUGGACAUUAUACGUGUAACGAGGGCGAGCUUCGCGCGAAGGAAAGUCUGCUGUAAUGCAGUAUGAAGAUAGUAUCCUCUCGUCCGUAGAGAGUAAUAAAUACGCAAAUAAACUUUGCUCGUUAACCUAUCGAACUUCGAUAGACUCGGACGAUCUUCGUCUUAAUUUGGUUGCGUGCAUCAGAUAAAAAUACUGUAUUUCGCGCAUGAUCGCGAAAAAGUCCCCGUCUUGGGAGAGGUAAUUCGGAUAAUUGCAACGAUAAUAUAGAUAUAAUGACACAGACAGACUUCCAAAAGUUUAGAAAUCGCAAACUUUAUGGAAAUAAUUUAAACCGCGUUAUAAAGCGCUCUUCCUACGUAUUACAGUUGGACGUGUUAUAAUUAAACGUCAUCGAUUAUUUAGAGCAAGAAUCAUACAUCGUGAUUUCUUAAACUUCGAGAAAUUCAUUUUGUUCAAUUGAUGGAGAACAUUGUUUGAAUUCCCUUACUCACAAUUACAUUACAGUUAUACUGACUGACAUUUUAUGCGAUGCAAAUUAACCUUUUAAAAAAUAAUUUUUCUAAGCAUAUAUAAAUUUGUCAACACAUGAUCUUUCUAUGAACAUAUUUGCGACAAGCAUUGUAUUAAAGGCUAAACCGCGAGGUACGUCGUGGUUUUAAAGUACCUACUGGAUAAUUCAAACUAUUUCAAAACUUUCAACGCUUGCUGCUUUAGUCCUUGUGUACGUGCAGUUAAAGAAGAAAUAUGUCAGUACUUCUGACCUUGAUAUCUUGCAUAAUAUAUAUAAUAUGUCGUUAAAUUUGUUAUAACAUAAUAGUUUAGACAACGUAAUACUUUCUUGCGUAUACAUGACUACAAUAUUCCAUAAUGUUUACAGUUUACCACACACACACACACAUAUAUAUAUAAUUUUUUACUUGCACUCCAUCGUGCAUUUAUUUUAUACGGAUCACAUUUUCAUUGCAUAACAAAAAAGUGUGUACUUAGCAAAGCAUAAAUUUACUUUCGUGUACGUCUUACAAGUGUAUAAAAAGAUUAAAUUUCCUGUCGCCUAUAUACAGUACACGUCAUUGUUUUCACUCCGAGUAUGUAACAUUGGUAACGCGUUAGGUGAAUGUACUAUAAUAUUAAGUGGUAUCUUAUGUAAUACCUACCUACCUUAUCUUCAAACGUCGAGCACUUCGUUCCACUACCCCCUCAUUUUGUGCUCUUUCUUUCUGCCGUUACCUCCUCGUAUAUAUUCUCUAUCUUCGUUCGUAGAACGUAAUUUAAUUCGUCGAGCGGAGUAGAGGCAUCAAAAUAUUAGCAUAUUGAUCAGCCUACCCGCGACCCGCUCUCUUAAAUCCACGAGCGUAAAACGCACUUAAUGCGAGCAACCACUUUGGCUGUUACUACAGCGAAUGCAAUAUCCGUCGCUUGAAGUAACUGUCCACGUUAUAUUCGUUAUCUGACAAGUUUUUUACAACAUGCAUAAAGAAGGCGACGGUCGUGCACGCAAGUGUACGUUCUUCGUUUACAAACGAAACAGGCACAACGGAGUAAGUGGUAACGAUACUACAUGAAUAGACAUAUUACGUACUUUUGGUAGCUUCUUAAUGUUAUAUGCGUAACUCGGUUAUAUUCUACAUAGAUAAUGUCGACUUUGUGUUCAAAGAAUUUUGCAAACAGCCAGUGAUCUUAGCUUUAUAACGGGCGUAAAAAAAUUGAAAUGUUAUUCGAGCUAAGUAAAAUAAAUUACGUGUCGGUUAUAUAGAGUAGAUAUAGAUCAUUAAUAUUGCAUUAUGAUGCUUUUACUGAGUUUAUACUGCUUUAAAUUUCUUAGAAAACAAGAAGCAGAAAUGAAAUACAUAUUAAAUCGAGUGCAAAAUUUUUAAUUAAGGCAAAGUAUAAGUUAUGUAACAGUGUUAUAAGGUUUUCAUUUUCUAGAACAAGAUUUUUAUAUUUUUUACGAUAUUUAUGUGAAUAAAAAAAUUGUAUAUGCCUUUAAAUGGCUUUGCGCCAAGGCAAUCAUGACAAAGGCGAGAAAUAUCCCUAAAAUCCCUCUGUGAAAUAGCUCCAUUGAGGGAUGCAACGCGUACGACAAUAAUGAAUUUUCAAAUAUCGGCACGUGAACGUGCCUAAUGAUGGCGCGUUUUAGCGCAGGAACAACGGGCUUUGAAGAGAUACGUUAUCCAUGCUCGCCCUUUCAAACAACCCUUGAGCGACACGCGACCUCCCGAUUAAAGCAAAUUUUACGCUAGAGAUAGUUUUCGCGCUUGUAAUAUUUCUCAGCUAUUCACAGCAGUAGAUAGAAUCUACAAAGCGUCAUGUAUAAUCAAAGUUUUUGUUAGGAUGAAAAUCACCGUUUAGAUUACACAUUUCUCAAAUUAUACUUCCCUCGAUAGAGAAAUGUCGAAUGGAUUUAAAAUGCGAUUAGUGGAGAAAACGGUUCAAUGACACUCAAGUUAAACUAAUGAAAUUAAUAUUGACUCACUGCCACUUGUUUUUCCGACAAAAUAAUUCAGGUGUAUUUAACGAUGCUUCUGACGCAAAUUAAAUGCUAUAUAUUGAUAAAAUAAAUUUCUAUCAAUAAUAUCAUUGCCAAUUAACGUCAAUUAAAAUAUACAACUUAUAUAAAAUUAUAAAAUGUUCAAUUUUAAACGUUCUAUUAAACGGUGCAAAAUAUCAAUACCAAUACGUAGAUAUAAAUGCAAUUUUUCCAAUGUUGUUUUUGUAUUACAUAGAUUUUUAAUUAUUUCUAUAAAUUUACUAUUUACAUCAUUUUCAAAUAUAUGAAAAAUGAUAAUUAAUUAAAGUUAACAAUAAAAUAUUCUGCUUUAUAAACGCGAAAUGCAGAUAGCUCGGAUAAUAUUUUUUUCUCACGAUAAAAAAGAAAUGAGAUGAUUAUAUGUUAAUGGGAUUCAAUUUUUUAUAUAAAUCAAAGCAUCUUGACAUUAUUAUUACUAUACAACACUUGGUCACUCGAGCAGUCGAUUCGAUGGCACGUCGAACGAAACGAUUUACGGUAGGUCGUGCAUCUCGAGGCGCGAGAACUCGACCUGGCCAGCGAACACGACUUCCGCAUCCGGGUUACAGCUGCUGCUUUAUAGGGUAGGUGUACGAGGGAGUGCUCUAGUCACCCAGCCAACCAGCGCCACGCCAGUUAACCAGUCAGCCAGCCAGUCAACCAGCCAAGCGCUGACACACCAUAGUUAUUAUACCAGUUUGAUAUUUUCGGAUCGAUAAAGCAUCUAUCGUUAACCACAGAAAAACAUAAGAAGAAACUUACUAGUCAUAAUUUUCAUGAAAUUUUUACACUAGCAGUAACGUAGUCAUUAGCAGUUUUCUUUUUGCUAUAAUAGAAAAACUAUGGAUCAAACGACGGGAUUAUAGUUAGAUGCUUUUCCUUAAUAUAGAAAAAAAUUAAACAAGAUAUAAAGUAACAGCUAUUCAGUCAAAAUUUUUAUAAAUUUUUUUGCGUUGUUUUAAUAUGUUACUGAGAAAAUGUAUAAUGAGAAUAUGUAAUGAGUUUUUUAAAACAACAAAGAAGAUUACUCGGCUUUUACGAGGUAUGAUUUCCACAGACAUAUUAUUGUGGUUUUAUUAGUAUUAUACUAAUCAAGAAUUUUUUAAUUAAAAAAUUGUCUUUGUAGUAAGAGAGAAAUUCUUUUUAGAAUAAUUCUUGAAAUCAUUGGAAACUGUAAACAUUAAUGUAUUAAUUGUUAAUACAUUGACUCAUUUAUAAAUAAUUACCGGAGUAUAUCAUUAAUUUUGUUUUUUUCAGAAUUUUAAUUUUCAAGAAUUUCAUAUCAUCAAAAUAUAAAAUAUUCAAAAACUACAUAAAUACUAGCUAAUCUUAAAGUUAAAGAAAGAUUAAUUCCAAAAUUAUACAAAAUUGCUCAUUAAAAUUCAAAUCGAGGCUCUUGGAGCAUAUUGUAAAUAAGUCAUGUACAAUCUAACAACGAUGUUUCGGUAAUAAAGAUAUCAUCAGUUCCAACAUACAAUAUCAUGGAAGAUUUUAGAAAUAGUAAUCACACAAACAGUGGUGAAUAAAUUAUAUUCGCGUGAUCAUUUUCCGCCCAAUAUAAAACAAGUUUAGCGCUGAUCGAAUUUUGCCAUGUGCCUUUUUUCCCCCAUCGUCUUUCGCGGGUGAGUCUUUUUGAUGCCAAAUUUUAGAUUUAUCCCUCGUUGAAAGAGGGUCAGAUUUUGCUCCGCCAUUCGAGGCAACCAGCCAAGUUGCACGCAAACCCAUGCGGUUUUCCACGUGUGUACUACGAGACUUCACGCUGAAACGGACAGUAGAGAGAAGGUAGAGAAUUUUCGGCGAAGAUUCCGAUUCAUACUUCGUCCACUUCCGCGAUGCUUCUUCUGUGUAUCCCAGCGUCGCCAGUAUUGCCGUCCUCGUUCCCUUGGGCGUCGUAUACGUAGGUAUCGUCGAAUAUUUCGAACUCUUUGUCCGCGACAAUGUCUUUCCUCUUCUCUCUUCCUCCCUCGCUCUCAUUCUCACAAUCUCCCUUUCUGUACACAUAGCGCGCCAUUUGAGGGUGCAAGGGAGUAGUGUACGAGUCCGCUUGAUAUUACCGCGCUCGGUUUUUACGGGAAAAUGGGUUCUAAGCACCGACAGCGGACUCGUUCCCGGCUAAAACAAUAUCAUUUCAUCCCACGGUACCUGACCCCGCUUCUCGCCGCCCGGAUCACUUGUUUGGUCGCGACAGGUACUGCCUCGACUUUUCGCAUCGCAUCCCAUCGGUGGACUACGACCAGCAGCUAUUCGGUCCUUUGGGUCACGACUAUACCAGAAUCCGUAUGACUGGGCGGGUGUAGAGCAGUGCGGUAGCAUGGGCAGUAGUCGCAGCCAUACCCCUCCGUCUCCAUCAAGUUUAACUUGGCGCAGCGAAUUUCCAAGUACCGUUUUACGAGUUUUCGUUGCCACUGGGAAUAGACGGAUCAGUCGUUACGCCGCUCGGCAAAUGUUAUUCCCGAAGUGAGUACCUCGUGGUAUGCUCCCGGCCAUCUCCACGGAGGAAGACUGAUAAUCAAUUUUGCAACGCGAUUCCAAUUCGUUUGCGACGCAUUUGGGGCUACGAAAAUGUCGUUAGCCGAGUGGCUCUCGCUCUCAUUUUAUUACGCUGGACGGAAGUUUUUCGGUCUCCCUUUAAAUCGCUCAGAUUUGGACGAUAUCGUUCGAUAGAUUAGCCGUGUUUUUCAAUGAUUAUGAGAAAGCAAUUAACGAGUCUCGAGAUAGAGAUACGAAUGAUUUGGAUAGUACGUAUCAUAUGUAUACGUGUAAUAUAUAUAUAUAUAUAUAUAUAUAUGUAUGUGUGUGUGUGUGUGUGUGUGUGUACACAUCUCGUGUACCUCUGGUUGAUACAAAAAGAAACGCACGUCGGGAAAAGAAACAGUUUUCUUCUACAAUUUGUAAGUGUCACUUGCAACGCAUAUAAAUUUACACGGCAUGUAAGACGCGUAUUCUAUUUAGCGAUAAGUUUUAAACGAGAGUUAUCGUUGUAAUAUCCAGUGCUAGGUUUGUAGCAAACUGUUACCACGAUUUGCAUAUUUAUCACGUCGAGUUUGGAAUCGGAAAAUACCCAUUUCUAUGCCCAACUCAGCAGAAAAUGAAGUAUGACUCCGGUAUUUUUGGAAAAAGAUACUUGAGACGGUCGGUUUUUCCUUAAUGCACGUGCAAAAAGACAACGUGAGCUCGAGAAGUAGCUGAUAUCUCAAAGUAAUGCCAAAUAGAAAUGUCAUCCAUUUGAAUAGAUCCUACUACCAUAAAUUUAUCAGAUAUCGACCUUUGCUAGAUCGUAACCUAAAGAAGAAUCAAAGUAUUAAAUUAUUAAACAAGAAUGCAUAUUAGACAAAUUAAAGAAUUUUUGUUAAUUUCAAAAGACUAAAGAGAUUGGACUAAGAGUUUAUAUUUGUGUUACCUAAAUGAUGACAAUAUGAAAAUGUAGCCUAUUUAUAUACAAAUAUAUAAGACAUUUCAAAUAGAUUUACUAAAUUGUCACGAUAUUUAAAUUUUUUCAUAUAAAUACAUAUGUUAAUAAUAAUAAUUUAAAAGAUUAAUUAGUUGAUUGAAAGAAUACCGAUAUAAGUCUGAAAAAUUAUCUUAAAUUUAUCUUUGAUUUUAAUAUAAUUUUCAUGAAUGAAAGAGAAAGAGAAAGGGAGAGAAUAGCUUUAAUGCAACUUUGUUUCAAUAAUGUCUCCGUAUUUUACAUCUUGACUGUUUUUCAACUACUGUUUUCAUUUCACUCCUAGAUAGAGUGUAAUAAAAAUUCACCCCAGAAUUAUUAAUAAACAUCUGAAUUCAUAAUAGAAAAGAUAUUCUAUUGUAACUCUUUUCGCAAUGUCGAGAGUAGCCGACGCGAUUAAUAUACCGCCCCUAAGUAAAAGACAAGACAAAGGUAUAGACAAAGAAAGCUUACAUUAACGCUUUUCUUCGUUUGAGCUUUCCACUGUUUGUUAUUAA